rnacentral:sRNA from 1 species
CCCAGUGGUUGUUGCAUGCCUCGGCCGAACUUGCCAGUGAAUAUUCAUGAAAACGAUUUUCAUCUCACGCUCCCGUCGAAUGGAUAUAUACAGAGUCCUACAUCUUCAGGAGGGCGAAAACUGGUGAACGCCAUUUCGAAUGGGGAGGAUCAAGGUGGUAGUCGAUUUUCCGCACCACCCAUUGUAUUGAAUAUUAGUCCCCAUAUAUGUAAAGAGAGCGGCCAUUCUCACGGAAAUAAGAAUGACAAAUGUCCAAAGUCGGAUAAUAAUGGUUAUUACGUGAUUUCUGAUGGCAAGCGGGUCCCCGAGAGUUCAAGCUGCGGCUGGCGCCAACACAACUCUGGAGAUGGCGGCGCUGGCGCAGGUGACAUUGGGAGAAAGAAGUCUAGGAGGAGCAGGCGAAGGUCUCGACGCAA